rnacentral:rRNA from 1 species
UACGUAGGGUGCGAGCGUUGUCCGGAAUUACUGGGCGUAAAGAGCUCGUAGGUGGUUUGUCGCGUUGUUCGUGAAAACUCACAGCUUAACUGUGGGCGUGCGGGCGAUACGGGCAGACUGGAGUACUGCAGGGGAGACUGGAAUUCCUGGUGUAGCGGUGGAAUGCGCAGAUAUCAGGAGGAACACCGGUGGCGAAGGCGGGUCUCUGGGCAGUAACUGACGUGGAGACGCGAAAGCGUGGGGAGCAAACAGG